AUUUUUAUAGUGUAAGAAACCACGUUGUAUUUUCGUUACAGAGCUGAAAUCUAAUUUCUAAAAAUU
rnacentral:tRNA from 1 species